rfam:Roseburia sp. CAG:50 genomic scaffold, scf313
GCUUCGAUGGCUCAGUUGGUAGAGCGACGCACUCGUAAUGCGUAGGUCGAGGGUUCGAGUCCCUUUCGAAGCU